rnacentral:rRNA from 1 species
AGCGAACGCUGGCGGCAGGCCUAACACAUGCAAGUCGAACGAAGUCUUCGGACUUAGUGGCGGACGGGUGAGUAACACGUGGGAACGUACCUUUUGGUUCGGAACAACUCAGGGAAACUUGAGCUAAUACCGGAUGAGCCCUUAGGGGGAAAGAUUUAUCGCCGAAAGAGCGGCCCGCGUUAGAUUAGCUAGUUGGUGAGGUAAAGGCUCACCAAGGCUACGAUCUAUGGCUGGUCUGAGAGGAUGAUCAGCCACACUGGGACUGAGACACGGACCAGACUCCUACGGGAGGCAGCAGUGGGGAAUCUUGCGCAAUGGGCGAAAGCCUGACGCAGCCAUGCCGCGUGAAUGAUGAAGGUCUUAGGAUUGUAAAAUUCUUUUACCAGGGACGAUAAUGACGGUACCUGGAGAAAAAGCCCCGGCUAACUUCGUGCCAGCCGCCGCAGUAAUAC